UACGUAGGGUGCAAGCGUUAAUCGGAAUUACUGGGCGUAAAGCGUGCGCAGGCGGUGAUGUAAGACAGUUGUGAAAUCCCCGGGCUCAACCUGGGAACUGCAUCUGUGACUGCAUCGCUGGAGUACGGCAGAGGGGGAUGGAAUUCCGCGUGUAGCAGUGAAAUGCGUAGAUAUGCGGAGGAACACCGAUGGCGAAGGCAAUCCCCUGGGCCUGCACCGACGCUCAUGCACGAAAGCGUGGGGAGCAAACAGG
rnacentral:rRNA from 1 species